CAAGCUGGCCCCGCCCCCGAGCCUAACCGGCCGCUCGCCCCCAGCCCGAGCUGGGCCAGCCCCGCGAGACGCGCGGGGUACUUACUUGUGGAAAGAAACGGGCUUAUCCUUAUCGUACCGGUUCUUGCAGCCGUAGGCGGAACAGGACUGCACCAUCCUUCCGGCCUCCACUCACUUCACUUCUGCCGCUCCCGCAAGCAGGAGAAGCGGCUAUCGAUGCCGCUGCGCUGCGCUUUGACACCCUCACUCCUUCUGUAGCUUUGGUCAACAGUUUCUGUGAUGAUAAGCUCCCCCGCAUUGACUACUGUGCCCGUUUUGUUGUUUGCAUUAGCAGAAGGACCACAGCCAUCGCCCGUCUCCCAUCUCCAAGAUGGCGGAGGCAGCUUCAACCUCACCUCUCGCGAGGAGUUUGUCCCACUGUCUGAUGAGCCCCGAGGUCAGAGGUGUCACAAGGCUCUGAGGGCGCAGGCGCCUGAACUGUGGCAGUGCGAGCGGACACUCGCUCCCGCCGGAGGGCGUAGCGGUAGUGCCCCGCAGGUGCCGGGUGGGAUCGCGAGCUGCGCGGGUGGGUCCGUCCGCUUGCCUCCGGCGGCGUGCCCUCCCGUCUGCAGGUCGGGGCCUGCGAGUCUGCAGCGCAGGCUGGUGACGAAUUCCACGGCUCUAUUGUACUCUUUCUGCCUACCCCCGCCUCAGUCCUCGUGGUUCCCCAGGGUUCCAUCCUCCGCCCUCCUCCUCCUUAACACCCUGCUGCUUGAGUUCAAUAAAACGCUCUGAUUUCCUAAUGGUCUUCUAUUUCUUAUGUAAAUUUUUCUGCCUUCGAUUAUCCUCUGUGAAUUAUGUGUUCAGUUGCUUAAACCGGAAACCUUAGAUUUCUUUCCCACUCUCUACAUCUGUUUGAUGACCAGGAUAAGUUUAUAAAGUAAGUAAAUACUUGUUAAAUCCAUCCCUCCUCUCCUCGUUGUUCUUGAUCAGGCCCUCUCGCGUUCUCUUAACCAUGCAACAGCCUCUGACUGUCCGAGGUCUCGUUUUGCCUCUCCAGUCUAUCCUCCACAGAAGGUAAUUGUCAUACACCUGUUCACAUCUUCAAAAGCUGCCUCUACUCGAUAGUGUCAUAAAGCCCUUGAGGACCGGCUACUUCUACCUUUUCACUGUAUUCUCCAUCCACUUGUCUUUAACUCUUUCCUACCAUCAUGUUUCACACAGGGCAGGCAUUCUCCUGGCUUCCAUAAAUAGCCUGUUUGCCCUUAGGCUGAAAUGCCUCUCACUGACCUGUCCACCUUCAAGAUGUGGCUCAGGUGUUAUGUUUUCUAACAUGCUUUCUCUAUCCUCUUUUUCUUAAGCCUCUCAACUUAGGCACCUCUCUUGUUCCAACGAAAACUUUGCGUUUAACCUCUCUGUAUAUGAACCAUACGUUACUGUAUGGUUGUCCCACUUCAUGGACUGAGGCCCUGUUGAGGAGGACUUUGUCUUAGCCUUGUAACCCCAGCAGCUUGCAGUGUCUGGCAUUAAGUAUCUAGAAAAUGUUUGUUAAAUCAACUGGGCCCAGAAAACUUGAGGAAUUUCAGAGCCAUAUCCUUUCACCAAAUACUAAAAUAAUAGUUUAUUAGCAUUUCCAGGGAUAGACAGAAAUUUCUUCUGUGGUUUACUGUGCAUGCAAUAAGGAUGAGAAUGUGAUAGGGAUGCCUGGAUGGCUCAGCAGUUAAGCUCUGCUUUUGUCUCAGGGCAUGAUCCUGGAGUUCAGAGAUCCAUCAAGCUUCCUGAGGGGAGCCUGCAUCUCUCUCUGCCUAUGUCUCUGCCUCUCUCUCUCUCUGCCUCUAAUGAACAAAUAAAAUAAAAUCUUUAAAAAAAAGUGUGAUAGCUGCUUGUGAACUGAAAAGUAUAUUUUAACUAAGAGUUCACUGAAAUUGACUCAUCAGCUGAUUCAGCAGAUAUUUACUCAGCAUUUGCUAUGUUCUAUGCACAGUUCUAGGGACUUGAGAUACAUAAAUGAACAAGACAAAGAUUUCUGCCUUCACGGAGGUAAUAGUCUAGUGGAGGUUGGAGGGGGCAGACAAAGAACAUAAAACCAUAUGACAUGUUAAAAGGUGAAAGGGGCUAUGUGGGGGUGAGGAGGUUGCAAUUUUAAAUACAAAGGAUAGGACAGGCUUAGUAGAGACUACUGAGCCAAAAUUUGGAAUGGGUAAGAGUUAGCUAGAAAUAUAUCUGGGGGAAGAGUCUUACAGGCAGAGGGAAUGGCUAAGGUAAAACUCUUGAGGCUCAGUGUCCCCAGCCUGUACAAAGAACAGUAAAGGGGCCCGUGUGACUGGAGCAGAGUGAGCUGGGGGGACAAAUAAUAAAGUCAGAGGAAACAGGCUGAGGUCAUGUAGGGACCUGUAAGCUAGCGUAAGGACUUUGACUUUUACUCUGAGAUGGAGAACAUGGUUUACGCAGAGAAAUGAUCCAGUCUUUUAAAACCAUCACUUUGCUGUGUUGAGUAUAGAUAGCAGGGGGUACUUAGAGGCAGAGAGACUGAUAGGCAGGCUUCUAUGGCAGUGUAGGUGAGAGAGGAUGGUGGCUUAACCUGGCUGGGAAUAAGGAAUAAGAAGUGAUCUUGUCUUCUCUCCUUUUCUUCCCUUCCAUUUCUUUAUUUACAUUUAUUGAGCAAAUGGCAGACAUUAUGCUAGGUCUGGGAAUAUACUGGUGAGCAAGAUUAACAGUCCCUAUCUUCACAGAGCUUAUUGUAGUAAGGGGAAGACAGACAAUAAGAAGGUGAAUAAAAUAACAUUGUGCUGAGAUGCCUGAAUACAUAGAGGAGGGGUCACUAGCUGGGGUAGGUGGAUCAUCUGAGAAGGGAAUAUUUCGCUGAGAAAGAAUGGAAAAAGAUCUAACACUGAAGAAUGAAAACGGGGAGGCUGGGAAGAGCAUUCUCCAUACAGGGAGUGUGUACUGAGGACCCGUGGCAGCAGCGAGUUUAGUUAUUUUCUGGGAACUGAAGGAGGCUGCGGCAUGAGUCCAGGAGCCAGGGGAAUCAGGGCAUGAAGUGAGGUUGACAUACGUUUAGAUUUUAAGUGCAGUAGGAAGCCAAUGAACCUUUUUAGGCAGGGAGAGACAUGACAUUUUUAAAUGUCAUUCUAUUAGAUGAAGAGCUUUUCAGAGGGGCAACAGUGCAAGUGAGCAGCAGACCAGUAAGAGGCCAUGGCAGGCUAGUAACACAGCUUGGUGACUUGGACUAAGGUAGUGGUAGUGGAGAUGGAAUGACCAGGAUUUGAGAACAUGUUGGAUGUAGAAAUGUCAAGGCUUUGUGCUAAUAUGAGAAUGCAGAAGAGAGAGGAAUCAAGGUAUUACAUUUAUGGCUUGAGCAUUUAGAUGGAGGGAUGGCCUUAAAAAAGAAAACAAGUGCUAUCCUCUUCUCCCCACAAAAUAGAGGACUUGCAGAGUGGGAGCAAUUUCUGAAGUGCAGUCAUCAGUUCUGGGAGUGUAGGACUGGAGAAUGUCAGAAGAAAAAGACCAAAAGUACUCAGAGGUUGGUCAUACAGGCUACUAAGGAAGCAUGCAAGGAUCACCAACCAGUGCAGAGCACUCUUUUGAAGUUUGUAAUAAUUUUUAAUCAGUUUGUUUAGAGUGAAACUAGUCAGUUUAGUUACUUGGUUGGAUUUCCUUUAAUGAAGUUCUCUUCUUCAGUCCCCCUUUUUGUUUUCUUUCUUCUAGGUAUUAAUAACUUAGAAGUGAAAUCUAUAUUUUUAUUAUUUAUUGACAAUAAUCCUAAUGUUUCCUUACUUUGAAAUGGUAAAUUUAUUUUAGUAUAUGUGCUGCCAAAGCAAGCACUGCAAUGGUAAAUUUAUUGACCAAGUAAAUUGCCUGUAAUUUUUAAAAUAUUAAUUGAACUGAAUGUUGAAUUUUUCUAA